rnacentral:misc_RNA from 1 species
CAUUACCGUUUGUCUCAUGACAAAAACCCACUGUGAACUGUACCGAGCUCGUGGGGUAACCCUUGUGGUUUUAAAUGAUUUGAACGAAUCGGCCCCACGUGCGCAACCAAUCAAAUUUUUAACACACCUAAUACUGUUUUCCAGUAUCACUGAUUUUCAGGCUGAGCAAUCGGUCCGAAAUGAAAGUAAACACUUGACAACUUUUAACGGUGGAUCUCUUGGCUCGUGCAUCGAUGAAGAACGUAGCCAGUUGCGAUAAGUAGUGUGAAUUGCAGAAUUCAGUGAAUCAUCGAAUCUUUGAACGCAAAUUGCGCUCUCUGGAUAUCCAGGGAGCAUGCCUGUCUGAGCGUCGUGUAAAACCUACACACUCCGGUGUGGCUAGGGAGCUUCAAGCGUCCUGGUACGUUUGGCUCUCCAUGUACCUGAACUCGAUUGCAAUCGUCUAUCGAAGGUUGCUAUCGGAAGGCUCAACUAGCUUCUGUCCUUCUUGAUAGCCGAGUGACAGCGAUUGUGUUCUUGGGUUCUUGGCUCUUAUUAGUUAAGAGCAACACUCGAACUUUGACCUCAGAUCAGACA